UUCUCUCUACGUAGUAUCCAUCCAUCCAUUGACUAAUCUGAUGAUUGACUCUAGGUUAAUCGAUCCACACGUUCGAUUUGAGCAAGACUUUUUCCUCCACGACACGCUAGGGUUCAUUGACGCCGCCGCGCCGGCUGCCGCGCCGUUGCCGCCGACCCGCCGUGCUCCGCCGUCGUCGACCGUGCUGCCGUGAGUAUACAGAGUACAUACACGCAUGCGCAGGCUAAGCAGCUCUGGCAGGAGGGAUUGGAACUUUCGAAGCAGAUUUUUCGUUGAUCCGUCCGAGCCUCCUCUUGAGUCCAGGUGAGCCUGCUCUACUCCAGGUGAGCCUGGCUGAACGCAGGUCUCGCUGAGUUGCCGUCUUAAUCAGAUUCAGAUGCUUUAACUGUAUGUCUGUAUCUUUCCAGCAAACACAUGUAUUUCACUUUGUAAUCGAUCAGUUACAAUAUAUGUGUCUUAUUCCAGCCUGAUUGAUAUCUCACUGCCCACACACAAUUACAUAUUUUGAUAUUUGUCAGGUCAAUUACAUAUUUGCUUUUUACUGUUACAUGUUUGAAAUUUCUAUAAUAUUCAAGAGUUGAAAUAUUUGUGUGUUAUGUCUCUUGUGUGUUUUAAUGUGUUCUUCGCCCCCCUAUGAUGAAAUCCUGGCUCUGCCCCUGACGACGAGGAGUGGCCUUGUGGGUGAGACUGCAUGAGCGGUGUUUCGUGUCUUGCCUCACGCCACGUCGCCAAAACCUCCAUCAGAAACCACUUAAGCAGUGCCUUGGGGGUGUUUUGUCUGGUAUUUUAAAAUUUUGGGGUUAAGUAACCGGUUUUUAAGUUGAGGGGGUGAUGCGGUUGAAAUCUGAAAGUUUAGGGGUUAUAUACAUUUAACUCGAACUAAAACAGAAUUAUACAGUAUGUGAUAUACUUCUAACAGAAGCAUCCAUUUUAUUAUAGGGGGGUGAUCUGCGCCGGCGCGCCGGCCCAGAUUUUCGGCCGGCCGCGCACGGGCCGCAGGAUCCACCAACCCCGCGUUGUUCGCACCGUUGGAUCCGCAUGCAACAUUUUUCUCCCUAUGCAGCAAAAUUUUGAUGUCAUGCAGUAAAUUUUUCAACGGUUGCAACAAAAAACAAAAUUUGUAGCAAAAAAAAUAUCUACGUGAUCGUAGCAAAAAAAGAAGCUGAUGGUACGUGGUAGCAAAAGUCAAACACCGGUUGUAACAAAAAUUUACGUGACGUGUAUGUAACUUUUUAGUGAACGGUUGCAGCAAAACAUGAUGCCGGUUGUAGCAAAAAUUAACACGGUUGUAGCAAAAAGUAAAAAAUAUCGAUUGUAACAAAAAAUCCGACGAACUAGAGUUGCAACCAAACUUAUAUGCAGCUUUUUUACUGAGACAAAAUAUAGUAAAAAUAACGCAGGUUGCAACAUUUUUAGACGAAAAAUGUUGCAUCCAUUGACCGGAGAAGCGUGCGGCUGGAAAAAAUGUUGCAAGGCUCGCGCGCGCCAGGGGGCGACCGGCGCGUCGGUUCGGCCGGCGCACGGGUGGGAAACGAUUCCCUUUAUUAUAAUAGCAUGGGUUUGUACGUUGCAGGAAAAGGGAAACAUGCAUCAUGGAUGGACUCACUUGGCCUGGUUGCUCUUUUGCGUGGGCGUUGCUGCUCUUGAUCGCCUCUCAUCAGCCGGCGCUUGGUUUUCGUCAUCGGUCUUUAAUUUGAUGACAGCCUGAAGAUCGAACAAGGAACAAAAUUCAGGUAGCACUGAUUGAUCUGAUUCUGAUCACACAAGUAGGGUGAAUUACUGUGGCGGAAUCUAUAGCUCUAAGAAAUAGGAUGGGUUGAACAAUCCAUACACAACCAAGAAAUAAAGAUUUUGAACCCAUACACAGCCAAAAUGUGCCCCCGUCGGUGGAGAAGGAGAGGGAUACCUUGGAAACAAUCUCAACGGCCGCCGCUGGGACCUCUGCUUGUUCCAACUUGUCCAGGCGUCUUCUGAAAAAAAAACUAGUCCAGCCGCGAGAGGGAUCGUUUUAUCUGGAUCGGCCCACUAGCUCCUUUUUUAUAGAAUCUUAUAUUCGCUUUUGGGCUUGCCUCAAAAAUAACCUUAUGCUCCGUUUUGAACGAUUUGUGGAAGUCUAUAGCCCGUAGAAAGCCUACACCUUAACUUUUUUUUUGGUUGCUCCAAUUUUUGGAGCGGCCCACGCAACCCAACGUGGCAGCAUCCUCCUCCACUUCCCCAGGAAACCGAUUCCGCGGGGUCCUUCCGUCGACGUAUCCAGCGGCGGCCGGUGAGUUGUUUCAAAGGUAUCCCUUCACCACCGGCCUCCGGUAGAAUUUUGAUUGUUUGGAUUGUCCGAGAUCUCUUUCCUUCUUGGUUGUAUACGGAUACAUACAUCAACUAAACCACCCAGUUUAUUAGAUUAGAUUGAUUCCACACCACAGUAAUCUGACGCAGUGUAUUUUAUUUUUGUCCUAGUUUCCAACUCCGAUCUAUUGUGUACGGAUAAACCUAUCUCUCCAUUUGUCUGGGCAACCAUACCGAUCCACUAGUUGUGUAAUCAGAUCAAUCAGUGUUUGCUGCUCUGGCUGGAUUGAAAAGAUCGAUGAUGAAAAACAAGAAGCCCCGGAUGGUGAGAGGCCAUGAAGAGCAACGCCCUUACAAAAGGGUGGCUAGGCCAAGUGAGUCCAUGCUGUUUCCAUUCUCCUGCAACUACAUAUUCACAAUUAACGCUUCUGUUAACUGUAUCGCACAUGAUUUUUAUUUUCAAUUAACUAGCUUUGUGUGCUACCUUCGUAGACAGCUUGAGUGAAUCCAGUCCAGGCGCCCUGAGUGAACUCAGUGAGCAAGUAGUUUCAAGAUUGCGUAGGAGUGUCGUGUCGCUUGCUUCAUUCGAUGG
rnacentral:lncRNA from 1 species